rnacentral:rRNA from 1 species
UACGUAGGGGGCAAGCGUUGUCCGGAUUUAUUGGGCGUAAAGCGCGUGUAGGCGGCCAGAUAGGUCUGCUGUGAAAACUCGAGGCUCAACCUCGAGCUGUCGGCGGAAACCAUCUGGCUAGAGUCCGGAAGAGGAAAGUGGAAUUCCGGGUGUAGCGGUGGAAUGCGUAGAGAUCCGGAAGAACACCGGUGGCGAAGGCGGCCUGCUGGGCAGUAGCUGACGCUGAGGCGCGACAGCGUGGGGAGCAACAGG